rnacentral:rRNA from 1 species
GACGAACGCUGGCGGCGUGCUUAACACAUGCAAGUCGAACGAAGAGCGAUGGAAGCUUGCUUCUCUCAAUCUUAGUGGCGAACGGGUGAGUAACGCGUAAUCAACCUGCCCUUCAGAGGGGGACAACAGUUGGAAACGACUACUAAUACCGCAUACGAUCUAAUCUCGGCAUCGAGGAAAGAUGAAAGGUGGCCUCUAUUUAUAAGCUAUCACUGCAGGAGGGGAUUGCGUCUGAUUAGCUAGUUGGAGGGGUAACGGCCCAUCAAGGCGAUGAUCAGUAGCCGGUCUGCGAGGAUGAACGGCCACAUUGAGACUGAGACACGGCCCAGACUUCUACGGGAGGAAGCAGUGGGGAAUCUUCCGCAAUGGACGAGAGUCUGACGGAGCAACGCGGAGUGGGUGCUGACGGCCUUCGGGAUGUAAAGCUCUGUUCAUCGGGAAGAAAGGCCUUCUUGCGAAAAGUUAGAAGGAUUGACGGUACCGGAAUAGAAAGCCACGGCUAACUACGUG